rnacentral:misc_RNA from 1 species
UCUCCAUUUGAUUUCACAUUUUAUGUAUAAAAUAGCCCCCAAAAUUUGAAUAAAGACUUCUCCUUUCUUCCUUGGCUCUUAAGCUUUUUCAGCUAUUUGACUAUUCAGAUCUCAGCUGAGUUUCUGGUGGCAGCUUUUCUUGGAGCAAAAAAUUGAGACAGUAACAAAACUUUGCUGAAAUGGCUAACCAUUAUGAUCGCAACCCUUUUGCUGAAGAAGAAGAAGUUAACCCUUUUGCUGAUGGCGGAGGCAGAGGGAAAUCUUCAGGGCAAUCAAAAUUUAGUGGAGGUGCAUUUUAUACCACAUCCGGGAGUGUGCCUCCAGCAACAAACUCCAGACUUUCACCCCUUCCGCCAGAACCAGCUGAUUUCUAUGACCGCAAUGCGUCAAUUGAUAUUCCUCUUGACAGUGCUUCGGACCUGAAAAAGAAAGAAAAAGAAUUACAGUCUAAGGAGAAUGAAUUGCGGAGGAGGGAACAGGAUCUAAAAAGGAGAGAAGAUGCUGCUGCACGAGCCGGCAUUGUUCUCGAGGAGAAAAAUUGGCCUCCGUUCUUCCCAAUCAUCCAUCAUGAUAUUGCAAAUGAAAUACCUAUUCACCUCCAGAGACUGCAAUAUGUUGCAUUUGCAUCAUAUUUAGGAUUGGUCGCAUGCCUAUUUUGGAAUAUAAUAGCAGUUACAACAGCAUGGAUUAAGGGGGAAGCCGUGACCAUCUGGUUCCUUGCCAUUAUAUACUUCAUCUCUGGUUGCCCUGGAGCUUAUGUCUUAUGGUAUCGCCCACUUUACAAUGCCAUGAGGACUGAGAGUGCUUUGAAAUUCGGAUGGUUUUUCUUGUUUUACCUGCUUCACAUUGCCUUUGUCGUCUUUUCUGCUGUUGCUCCUCCAGUUGUUU